rnacentral:tRNA from 1 species
GGAAGCGUAUCGUCACCGGUGUGGCGCCCAGACUUCAAAUCUGGUGUGUGGUCGAGAGGUCACAGGUAGGUUCGACUCCUAUACGCUUCCGCCA